AUCACCACCGCCUCCGUCUUCUCCUUCUCUGCGCUGGAGCCUGCAGCCUGGUACAUCCUGCAAGGAAAGGCGGUGGAGGUCUCUCAUUGGCCAGAAGCUACCAGGGCAGGAAUCCAGCCACCACACUGUGAAGAAGCCCAAACUAGCCUGCCUGGAGAGACCAAUGGAAACACCCAUGUGGAGAGGAACUGAGGCCCCCAACCUACAGUCAGCACCCACCACGAGCUUUGUGAGUGAAUGAGCCUUCAGAUUAUUCCAAAGUCCAGCCUUGGGUGCCUCCAGCUAAGGCCCUAGACAUCACAGAGCAGAGUAAAGAAAAGAAGAUACGGAAGGUGGAACCAAGAGCCCCGAGCAUGGAGCCAAGAAGUGUGGAGAAGCAUUCCCAGGCAGUAGCACUGAGCCCUAAUCAAGAAACUGGCAAUAUGUGCCUGUCUGGAUUUCAAAAUUGCUAUGGACCAGUGACUACUGUGACAUAUGCCUUUGGACCUCUGAGUUGCCAGGAGAGAAGUCCAGCUAUUCUGAAGCUGCGUGUGGGAGAGUUCGUGUGCAGAGGCCACAGAGAGACAGAGAGGAACUCCAGCUGGUCCAGCCCUACUUGUUUGAGUCCUCCCAGCCCAGGUGCCACAUAUGUGAGUGAACAAGCCACAGUCACACUCUGACUACAACUUCAUGAGACUCCAAUCCAGAACUGCCCAGCUGAGUUCCCUGUUUCCUGACCCACAGAAACUGUGAAUGGAGAGGAAGUCAUAGAUCUGAAGCCUGAGGGGGAUUCCAUGUACCUUUGAGGACUUGAAGAUGGAAGAGACCAUAUGGAAGGGACCUGAGAGAGUGCAGCUUCUGGGAGCUGAGACAACCAACAAGGAAACAGCACCUCAGUCUGACAACCACAGGAGCAGACUUCUACAACCCAAAAGAGCUUGGGAGCAGAUCCUUUCUCAGAGCUUCUAGACAUGAGCCCAGCCAGCUCACACCUUGAUUUUGGCCUUGCAAGACCCAGGCAGAGAAUCCAGCUGAGCCCACCCGGACUUCUCACCUGCAGAACUGUGAGAUAAUAAACGGCUGUUGAUUUAAGCUGCCAACUUUGCGGGAGUCUGUUAUGCAGCAAUAGAAAGUGAAUACACUCCUUUCUCAUUUCAUCCCGAGAAGGUCUGUGAGGAGGGUCUGAGGACUCCCCCUUUGCAGACAGGGCAGGCUAAGCGAGGUGCUCAGUUUGCACGUGUCCAGGCUGGGGCUCAGGCCCGGGUCCAGCUGAUUUGAAGGCUCUUUGCACCAUGAAUGCUUCUCUGACCUGAACAGCCACAGAUGAACCUUGGGCACUUGGCCUAAGUCAAGGGUGUCUCGUCUUCCCAUUCAGGGGAAGCAGGGAGGGCUGCAUCUUACACCCCCUUUUAUAAGAACCACCCAGCAGCUCCUUCCACGCCACAGCCUGCAGUCUGCAAAGCUGUCCCAGGCCUGCAUGCCCAGCUGAAGAGCAGAGUUCUGGCAGGAAACAGGAGAAGGGCAGUGACCUCGUCCUCCUCCUUCUCAGAUGACACGUCUGGGCUCUGUCAAGGCAAGAGGCAGGAGCUGGGAUGCAAGGAGCAAUAAAGUUUGGCUGUGGCCUUCCCCACUCCCAGUAAAAAGCAUUCUCUGACUGGCUGGGAUGGGGAUUUUUUAAUUUUAUAUUUGCUCCCAUAAUAAUUUGUUGGACACAUAGUUGAAUACCCCCGGGAGUCCAGAAAUGUUUGCAAGGAGAAAGAUUAUGUUUCUGCUUUAUUGAUUAAAAAGCCCUAAUGAAGGUUUUCUCAUUCCCACAUGAGGCCUUUUCCAAAAAUCUCCUCUGAUUCUUCCCAGAUGGUGUCCAGCUCUCUCUCGGAGCCCCCGGCAGGGUGGGGCUUCAGAAAGUAGGAGGGUUUUGUGCCUGACAGACCUGGGAUCUCAGCUGUCACUUACCCCAGAGGGGUGGUUGGGCGAGGGUGGGCAACCUCCCUGAGCCUCACUUUCUCUGUUAGACUGUUUCUGAGAUGCAGUGAGCCAAACAAAUAUACACAAGGUAUCUGGUACGCAAGGAGGAAGGAAUCAGUAUUGUUUUCCUUAUCUGUCUGCCUCACCACAACACAACAGCUACCUUGGAAAUAUUUUUUUGACAACCAGAACAUAAUUUUUAUUCUGAUGACAGGCAGGCCUGGUCAGCCAACAGCAAAAGUCUGCAAUCAGCAGAAUUUGCCUGUGUGCUCCACCUUCUCAAAGCCACUUCCUCUAUCCAUAUCCCGUUUCCUCCUUUCAGGCCCUGUCUGGCUGCAUCCCAGGGCCCUUGGGGGGAACAUGCUGGGAAGCCUCUGAAAGACGCUCUCAGUUCGGUAUUCGAGAGGGAGGGCUGUGCCUCACCCUGGGGACUGAAUGGUGGAAUCCCCAGCACGGGGCAGGGGGGCCAGCAAGGGGAAAUUUGGGGGCAGCAGGGAGGAUGCUGCGAGAUCCCUCCAGGUGUCUGUCUGGUGGCAACCGUGAGAAAUGGUUGUGCAAGGCUCCCUCCAGCUCGGUUUCUGUAGACUGCGUCUUUGGAGGUUUGAGCUAAAUCCUUUUAGAGGUAGUUUUUGCUGCCAAGGAAUCUUUGGGAGAAAUCUGCUAGAUUUAAACUUUUCAAAGUUUCCACAGUGAGGGCUGUGCUGAGUAGGUUCUCAGGACAGAGUUUGGGGUUGUCCUGUAUCUGGGGAGUGAGAGGCAAGAGGAGUUUCAGGGUCUGGGCCCCAAAAGAGUCGGCCUCACAGUAAGGAGGAAGAUGAAGGGAUGGAGGAGUGGGGUGACUGUGUUUACCCUUCCAUGUGGAAGAGGUGGAGACCCCGGGUGUUCUGGGAUGGAGGGCAUUUCAGGGCCCCCAAGAGUCCCUGCGGGUUGAGAGCAAAGCUGGUUCCUCACAGGGCUGUCUGCUGGGGCAGAGGCUGAAGGAGGUGCCAGGUGGGCAUUGGUGAAAUGGGGCCUGCUGCCCAGGAUGGGACACAGAGGCCACGGCCAGGCACCGCCUUCAGCUGCCUCCACCCUCCUCCCCAAGGCUGUGGGCUCAAAGCUGAGCCAAGCAUGAAACAGACAGCCUCUCUCCGCCUCUCUAUUCCCACCCCCAUCCUGAUGGAGUCUGGUUUUCAUCACCCAUUAAUCACCAAAGCUUCCCACAGCCUGUGUCUGUCUGUCCACACUCACCAGCCCCCUGGGCCCUGGGGGGAUGGAUAGACAGACAGCCAGGCAGAUGGUCUCUGACUUGGGGAAAUUUAGGGUCACACUGGGGGCUGCUUCCUACUCCAAGGCAGAGAAGUAUGCUUCCUGAGCUUGUUAGCUCACCCCCACCCCUAGCCUGGCCUGAAGCUGCCAGCCCGGCCCACCUCACCCUGGCAGUAGGCGACAGGAGCCAUUAGCUGUCCUGUUCACCAGGAAGGAAAUGGGUUGGAGGGCUGAGGAAUUCUAAUGAAGCUUCCCCAGCUGGCAGGCGGGCUAGCGGAUGAGAGCUGGCACCUCCAACCCUGCUGGAGUUGGUGCCAGCCCAGUUUGGCCUGGCCUGCUGGAUGCCCACCUGCUGCUGUGGGAACCCCGGAUUUGGACUGUCUUGCAAACCCUCUGAAGAUUCCCAGAGGCCGGGGUUCUCAGCCCUGCAGGCCCAGCCUGGCUCUCUCCAUGCCAGCUCUCUGGCCCUGUCCUUACUCUCUCCUCCUUCAGUCUCCUCGCCAUGACUUGCCUGAAGGAGAUGGGCCUUCUGGGGUUUGGUUGCCACAUGGGACCCCACCCAUUCAGACUGUCAUUGCACUCCCUCUGCAACUUUGGAGACCUGGGUUCUGAUCUGGUUCUACUCUGACCCACUGUGUGGCUUGGAGCCACUCUAACCUCUCUGAGCCUCAGUUUCCUUGACUGUCACAGUCACAGUCACCAUGCCUGGCCAAAGAGGGUAUCUGUUGGUGUUAGGAAGCCCCUAUGUGCUCUAGUCACCGUGCCUGCCCACCCACUUGGGGUAUGGGCUGAGGGCUGGUGGGCAGCACAGCAUAGGGCUGGCAGUGGUAGUGGAGAGUGGCAGGCAGCCAGGGGCUCCCCAGUGGUGGUCACAGCAGAGAGCUGAGACUGAGUCUGGAAACCUGGAAAUGACAUCGGGUACGGUCUUUCCUUCCUGGUCCAGCAGUCUAUGCUCCCUCAGAGCUGGAUGUCCCCAGAACCCAGGGCUCCCCAGCUCUGGCUACGCCCCCAGCCCUUCCCUAGGGCAAAUUUCCAUCCUUACAUGCCUCUGGUCGGCCAGGCUGCCCUGGUGGGUGGGUGCAUCUCCUCAGAUGGUUUCCAGUGGUGCUGGAGAGCCAUGCAGGGGCCUGCUCCCAGCACUGCCACGCAAGACCUCUGGCAGACACAGAGCCCCUCAGAGGGCAGAGCCCGCCAGAACCAGGAUUCUGAGGUCAUGGGACUCCUUCCCACAAAUCCUGGAUGCACAUCUGCAUAUCAUUGCACAGUGAUUUGCAUUCAUUUGCAUUCAAGUCCACAUCCACCCAACCCCAUAUUGUUCCUUUUUCCACCUCUAGUGAGACUAAAUAUUUAACCCCACACUCUAAAGUUGUGGUAUCUAAGCCCCCAACCCAACUGCAUCCAUUCCAAGUGUGUUUUGAGGACCUGGAGUUUGCACCAGCCUGUAUCUGGGCUGUCAGGGAGAUGGAGGAUGGGGAAAACAGUCCUUACUCUUGGGGUGUUCAAGCCUAGCUGGGAAACAAAAUUCACAGAUGGGACCCAGUGAAAAGCAGUAGACAGAGUACACUCAAGUGUGCAGUAGAUGCAGAUGGUGGGGGUACUGGGGUCAGGGGUGGGAGCAGAGUGGGCUGGAGGAGCAUGGGCAGUGGGCUCUAGGGUCCCUGGCACAAGUCUUUGUACGUGCUGGCCACCGUGUUGGAGAGGAGGCUGUGAUGUCCAGAGGGCUGGAUUUUCUUACUCAGCCCUGGGACACAUGGCCCUCUUUGGAGCAGGCCCUACAAAUGGUUGCCUUGUAUUGUACCAUUGACCUGCUCUUGGCCUGGACAGACUGGACCGAGUAUGGGGCCAGAGGCAAAGACAGCCUUCAGAGAGGUGGCUGGAUCUGAGUGGGCAGGAGCAACCACCCCAUCCAAUCCGAUUCCCAUCCAGAUGAGGUACGGAGGGGCUAGGUAACACGCUCCAGAGUGCCCCCAGGAAGAGGAGGACCUGGGCAGAGAAGAACUGGGCAGCCUGGCUCCUUGGCCUAUGCCCUUGACCACCGACCUCUACAGCCUCUCAUGAAGGAGUGAGCUGACUGGGCUCCAGGGCGUUAACAGUCAGGGGUUAGUAGAGCCGGGCCCUGGAGUCUGACCACCUGGGUUCAAAUCCUGGUUCCACCAGUUACUAGCUGUGUGACUUCAGAGGAAGCUCUCGAUUUCUCAGCCAAAGUUUCCUCACCCGUGGAGGGAGCCUAAUAAGAGCACCUGCCUGGUAGACAGCUGACUCACUUUGCACAGUGCCCACCAGGCUCUGUAGUAAAUGUGCAAUAUGUGUCUGCCAUUGGGUGGGGGUUGAGGCAGGAGGAAUGAGGGAAUGGGGACGGCCCGCUGUGGGCUAUCUGAGGAGAUUGGCCUGAUUAGAGCAGGGGCUGCCCAGGGAAGGAAAAGGGGCCAAGGCCAGGCCUAAGGGAAGGGAGCCUCAGUUCUGGGGCCAUUGCCCGUGGCGUCCUCCAUCUUUCCAGAGAGGCAGAUGUGUUCAGAGCUGCCCAAGACUUGGUAGUAUCUCUUCACUGAACUCACCUGGUCAAUCAUACAGAUGCUAGGGCUUCAGGGGUAUGGGAUGCUGUGCCCUUUGAAUCCCAGGUCCUGAAAAUGCCACCAGCUACCCAUGAUCAACCAUCGCCAUAAUGUGGUGAGAUCUUGAGUUGCCUGUCACGGCGCUUGAAAACAACACCUUAAAGUUAAGUUUUGCCCCCUCUGGGUUCCUUAAAAAAAUGUCCAAGAAGGAUGAGGGCUUAGUCUCUCCAUGUCAUGGUGAAACAACAAUCAGACCCAUUGUCAGGGCGGGAAGACUGGGGGUAUCGGUGGAGGAGGGGCAGGGGUGCUGAACAAGGGCAUGAGAGCAGAAUGAGGAGGGGCUGGGAUGUGUGAAGAUAAAACCAGAGGACCCUAUUAUAAGGAAACACAAUACGCAGAGGCAGACACACACCGAGACAUGCAUUCCUGCCCACUCACAGGCCCACAGACCGGCAUCAAGAGGCCCUGAGGGUAGCUGGCCCGCGUGCAGUUUCUGGAAUGCUCUUUCUUAUGAAAGAUUCUGUCCGGGAGCUUAGUUUAGGAUAAAGCAAGGCAGAAUAAGUUAGCUUUCUCCUUUACACCUUCUAUUUAAGCACAUUGGGCAGACUGAGUUUUUCUAAUAAUCGAGGCUAAAAGAAACGUUUGGGACUCGGUCCCUUCUUUGCCUCAAAGCUGUGGGCAGGAAAGAAAGGAGGAGGAGGCAGAUGGUCUGAGAUCGGCCUCCACCUUGGGUCCCAAACCCAAUGUACUAGCCCUGUGCAGGACAUCCACUGAAAGGUGACCUGACUUGUUCUGACACACGGUGGGUCAGCUGGAGGGUCAGCUCCCUACACCCUUCUUCAUGGCCACCCUCCUUGGUCAUGUCACUCAGCCUCUCCUGGGAGAAUGCUCUGGACCUUCUCUUUCCCACUAUUGGCUUUACUCUUUUGCUGUUUCCUGGCCUUCCACCCCAAAGCCCUGUAAGUUCCCUUCACAAUUCCUCCUUUCUGUGUGGGUUAGACCCUUUGUGCCUUAGGUCACUCCCCUGGUGUAACUUCCACACAAUAGUGUACAGCUGGAUGGAUUGCCACAUAUGGGUCUAUGCCCACGUAACCACUGAAUCAAGAUAUCGACCAUUUCAGCUCCACAGAAGGUCUCCUGUGGCCCUCCCCGGUAAAUACCACUCCUCAGGGUGACCAGUAGUCUAACUUCUAUCACCAUAGAUUCAUUUCCCUGUUCUUGACCUUCUACAAAUGGUAUCACAUGGUCUCUUUGUGUCUGGCUUAUUUUAUACAAAGUCACGCCUGGGAGACUCAUCCAUGCUGUUGUGUGUAGCAGAAGCUCUUUUGCUGUCGUGUGUCACCACUGUGUCAGUGUUUCAUUAUAUGAGUACACUACAAUUUGUUUAACCAUUCUCCUGUUGAUGGAUGUUUGGGUUGUUCCAGUUUGAGGUAUUAUGAAUAAAGCACUCAUAUGCAUACCUAUUCAAAGACACAUGCAUUUGAUUCUCCUGAGUAUAUGCCUAGGAGUGGUAUUGCUGGGUGACUUGGACUUUUAAGAGCUCACAGUCCUUCCUUCUCGCCGGUUAGGCCUUGGGACACAGCAACGUUAGCAAAACAAAUUGUGUCCUCCUCUCAGUGCCCUCCCACCUCCAGGGGCAGCGUCUGGGGAAGGUCAGGCAGCUCUUACACACUGCUAGGAUGGCCCCCGUGGAGGGCUCUGCACCUUUAAAGGGUCUCUUGAAGAGGCCUGAAAUGCUAUAGUGGGAGUUAUGAGCUCUCCUUCCGGGGCUGGAAGGGAGGUCAGGAGAGGGUUCGGCCUAGGACAGCGAAGCAGGAAGCAUACAAUUGCCCAAGAUGCUGGCGGAAAUAAAGUUGCAGGGUUAAUGACCUGUCCAAAGUCACAUGACAGUACGUGACCAGCCGGGUUGUCAGCUCAGGUGAGCCUCAUCCUGCCCAGAGCUCUUUCAACUGCAGCAGGCUGCCCUUGCUAUGGGGGAGGCAUUUAGGAACAGUUAGGGGUCAGGGUCAUGGUCCCGCUGAGGGUUCCACCCUAAGAUCAGCCUCCAGUCAAAGUUUUUUUGGGCUCUUUACCCCUGCCUGCCCACCAGCCCUGCCUCUGGCCCAGUGCCCUCCCAGGGAGACAUUCACAGGCCUUGGACAGCCUGAGUCAUGGACAUGGGCUGGAGGAGAGAGAGAGAGAGACAGACAGACAGACAGAACCUGGGGGCUGGCAUUGCCCAAGACCCUGUGCCAGGACCUGCCACUGAGCUAUCUGUGGGUGAACGGGGGCAGUCUCCAGAGAACAUUCCUGGAAAAUAGUUGCCCUGCAUAACCACCUCAGGCUUUCUUGGCCAGACCAUCGCAUUAGACAUCACACUGGCAAGGAUGGUGGGAUGGCUUUGAGUACCUGGUGAGGCCUUAGCAGUCAGGGGAAGGACUGCCUUGGCCUCCUGGGAACUGGCAGUGAACCUCUCCACUAGAAGGUUCUGGGUGGUGUGUUCUCAACUAAUACUAGGUGUGGUUCAUGGUGUGAAGACUUCAGGCUGUGGAAUUAGGGAGUCUCUGACUUUGCUGUUCUCCAAGAAGGGAGAGAGGCUGGGUGUGCAUGCUUGCCUGUUUGUGUGUGUGUCUGAGUAAUGUGUGUGUGCAUCUACUACUUAGCCAUUCAGUCUGCAAAUAUUUACUGAUUGCCUGUUAUGUGCCACCAUAGAUUCUGCAGUGAAUAAAGGAGACAAGGUCUUUGCCCUCAAAGUAGCUUUUUAGACCUAGAACAUGUGUCUCCAUUCGAUGGUGUGUAUACCUGAAGGUAUGUAUCUACCGGAACACGUGGCUGCCUUUGUGUGUGUGUGUGUCUGAAGGGGGAGUCUGAGUCUCUGAGUCUGUGUGUGUGUGCCUGAACAUAUGUGUCUGAGCGUGUGCAUAUGAAGGGGGAGAGAAUUACUCAUCCACUCAGAAGGCUGUUCAAGAAAGACUUCUCCCAGAGCAGUUACAUUUUCAUAAAUAAAAAUAAUCAGAUAAUGAGUUCAUUUCCGAUCUCAAGUUUGAUGCCAACAUUCCAGUGAAACAAGACCUGCUGGCAGGCUGGCUGUGCUCUGUGUGGCUUGAAUUAGCUGGGAGAAGUACAGGGGUGGGACCUGCCACUUGCAGGCUGCAGGGGUGGGAAGAGUAGGAGUGACCCACAACCAACAGAGAAGCUGCACGUGCCCGGGCCUGAGAAGCCCCUUACUCUUACACGGGCAUCAGCAGAACCCCUCAAUGGCCUGCACAAGGCCUGAACUUCCUCCCUUCAUUCCUUUGGGAGCAGGGAUUUAUCAAUGCAGAUGGCCCCAGAAGAAGUGGCCCACCAGGCUGCCAUGACUCACUGAAGGCACCCAGGCCAGAGCUCACAGAUGCCUGAUGGGAGAGCACACAGCAGGGUACACAAAGAGGCUGUGGUUGGAACCUUGAAGGGAGAGAGAGAGGGGCCACACCCAGGCCCUUCUUCUGCCUGGAUUCGCAUCAGGGGAGUCAAGUAUAUUCAUGGCCUUGCCCGGUGCCUUCCCCAACAAUCUUACAGCCUCAGUUCUCCUAGUCUACCUCCCCCUCCCCUGUGCUCCUGCCAGACAGAACCAUCUCCUACGCUGCCCUCUCUGGCCUUUGUGUAGGCUGAUCCCUCUCCUCGGAAUGCUCUUCCUCCAACUCUGCAUGUCCAAAUGUAUCCAUGCAUUAAGAUCCAGAUGUCAACCCCUUCAUGAAGUCUUCCCUAAUUCUGCAAGCUGGGAGCACUUUCUCACACUCAGCAGUUACCACCUUCUAACUGUCUCUUAUUUUUCCUCCUUGAGUCCAAGUUCCAGGAGGACAGGACUUGUGCCUCACGCAGCUGAUUUUCUUCUACAGGACCCCGUCAGCCUGAAGACAGGCUGUUCCCGGAGGCUGGCCAGGGAGGUGAACCAAGCCAGAUUCAGUACUACACUGUUGGCCUAUAUCAGGGGAACCUGUGAAAGGUUGUGCCCUGAAAUUUGCCCCUGUGCUGAAUUUGAGACCCAAUGCCAGAUGGGAAUGCCUUAGCAGUUGGACAGGGGCUGGGAGAAGGGCAUUGGUUGGGGUGGUAGAGAAGGGCUUUUCUUGGGAGGCGUGACUUGGACCCCAAACCAAGGCAUCUGUGAGACAUCAGGGAAUUACAUUGGUGGGGAAACUAUGGAUAAUCAAUUCAGAGGCAGAAUGAGAAAGAAAGGAUUCUGUAAGUAAGAAAGAAGGAUUCACAGAGCCAUCUGUCCAUCUAUCUAUCCACCCAUCCAUCCAUCCACUAUUUAUUUACCCAUUCGUGCAUUCAACGAGCAACACUGAGCAUCUACUGUGUGCAAAGGCUUGGGGGCUUUACAUACAUACAAUGACAUUUUUUUCAUCUACUCCUCAGAACAACUGGGUGAGGAAUGUGUCAUUAUCUCAGAGAGGGAAUUUGAGCCUCAGAGAAGUUGAAGUCUGUGUUCAGGUCACACAGCUGCUACGGGCCUGCCGGGAUUUACACUCAGGUCAGGCUGCUUCUCCAAAACCUGAGCUCUUCCCACGCCAAUGAGGAACAAAUGGCUUAUUUCUCUGUCUCUCAGCUUCAGGCUGAGCUGGAUCACGGCCCUCCGGCAGUAUGAGUAAGCCUUGUUCUUUGUCUGGGAAGUUCAGCCUGCGUCCCCACCCAGUGCCCCCACCACAAUUUUGCUAUAAGCCAGCUGUCUUUAUCUUUUCAAAUCUUCCAUGAUGAGGCCAUUUGUAGGGGCAAGGUCGUAACCCAAAGGAGCAGAGCUCUGACAGUGGAAUUUCUAGUGUAGAGGAAAGUUUUGCUGGGCAGGGGGUCCUCUUACUUUGCUAAGAGAUAGGACAGUCCUGGCAAGAGAGGCCAGCAUGGGCCAGAGGGAGGUAGAGCUGAAAAUGUUCUCAAAAGUCAACUAGGAGGUGGUAAAAAAUGCAUAUUCCAGGGCCCCAUCCCUAUGGAGUCUGAGUGAACAAUCUGGGGUGGGUCUGGAAAUCUGAAUUUUUAAUAGGCCCCAGAGGUUUUUGAUGUGAGUGGUCAGUGGACUGACAAGAAAUCCCUUAAUGAGAUUUAUGGGACAUAGAAAUCCCGCAAAACAAGACUUAAUGCUGAAGAUCACACUACUGUUUUGUUCGGAUUCAUCACACAGCUGAUCGGCCCUAAGCCGAAUAUCCCAAGUCCUUCUGCUUUUGACACGUGCUGAGGCACUUGAUCUGUUGGACCCCAUAAGCAGAUCCUGACAUUGAACUCUCUUGAGACUCACCUCUUAAAUGUGGCCUAUUGACCCAAGAUGACCAAACCUUUUGGAUUUUAUUAUUGAGUAUUUCCUACUCCUCCCAGCUUUGAUAUUCUGCAAAUUUGAGAAUUCUACCACCCACAUCUUCAUCCAAGUCCCUGACAAACAUGUUGAAGAGGCCAGGCCCAAGGCUGCAGAGGAAGCUCUCUCCUUGCUGCCGUGGGCCUUGAGGCCCGUCCACUAAGGACUCACAAGUCCUUGGACAUGGACCCCUCCACCCACCAGGUCUCCAUCAUGAAGGAUGCUAUGAAACUCCGGCUGGAAUCUAGCCAUGGAGGCUGCACACUCGGGUGUCCUCCCUCACCCUGUCCGUGGGACACAAAGGCUGCCUGGAUCAGGCCCUGAGCUCACUGCUUACUGUGUUUUGGAUGUGCAAACCCAUCUUUCCACGGUGCGUGUCCAGAACCGUGCUGUCAGGUUUGCUGAUGGGUACAGCAUGUUUCUCUCUGCGUCCCCUCCUCAGGCCCAGACCUGCCUUGGCAUCCAUGUUGCAGUUGGCCGUCUUGAAUGCUCCAGGCCAAGAGACCUGGGUCUGUGUUUGUGACCCAGAGACAAGCUAGGGUGGAGGGCUGCGGGGAGGGAAGACACUUGUGGGAAUUCAGUUUUCCUCAAGGAUGGAGGCUUGAAUAAGUGGUUGAUGUAGCUGGCCGUAAGCCUUGGAAUGAAUUUUCUCCCUUCCCACUGGUGGAAGAGGUGGAGACGCCACCUUGUGCUUCCUGAGUGGGAACUUGAGCCCCUGAGCUGGUUACGUGCAAAGUGGGGAAGAGGUGAAGAGAGGAACUCUGGGACUUAAAUGUUCUGGGCCUGGCUGGGAACACAGAGCUCAGACAUUUGAUCGGGGACUGUAACAGCUCCAGACAUUUCCCACAUUUCUCGGAGGGCUUUCUCACCAGAGCUUGGGUUUCUUUUGAGUGAUCCUUCCCCCAGGCACGGCCCCCACUCUAAUGGGGCGGGGUCGGGCAGGAAGCAAACAUUUACGAUGCCUUAGGUAUUCUGGCCUGGUUGUCUCUGAAACCACCAUCAGCUGCUGGAAGGGAAAAGUGGGCAAGUGUUGGCGAAGAGGUGGAAGAGCCCCCAGGACCACCCAGAGCAGUCCACUGGGCUGGCAAGGUCCAGUGGUGGGUAUUCCUGGGAAAGGAGAAAGUUUUCCUGCUUCUCUGGUUCUGGCCCUAUGCUCCCUGAGGACAGCAGCCCCAGAACUAACCCCUCCCUUUCUCCAGCUGCUCACCCUCUGGCCUCCAGCUCCUCAUUCAUGCUUUUUUAGGGGCCAGGAGAGAGUGUGGCCUGACCUCUCACUCCCAUCACCACCUCUUAGCCGUUCCCUGGGGCACAAGGCCCUCCCUGCACCUCAGCCCAGGCCCAGGAGUUGGGAGCACUUUGCCCCAAGGGCCUGCCCCUCUCAGGAGCUAGAGGCAGCAGCUGCUGUGGCAGAAGUUUUGGUCUGUGAAACGGAGAGAAUUGGAGGUAGCCAAGGGAGGAGAAAAGAGGAGGCUGUGUCCUGGCUUUGUGGCAGUUGGGAUCUGCAGCUGAACAAGUGGCCCUUCAGGGACUCAGCUCUGAGCCCCGGCUGCACCUGCCCUGCAGAGGCAGGAGAGGCCCCUCCCCCUAGCUUUCCAUGAGGUAGAAAUGGGGAUCUAAAGAGAGACAUGAACAGCAACCAAACCUCCUUUAUGCCUAUUGUGCACCCCCUCCCCUAACCUGGGCUUCUCUCAUGGAUGCAGACUGCUCUGGCUUCGCAAUGAAGUGCCAGGGGAUCCAGAUGUGAUAAGAUAACAUGGCUCAACCUCCCAAAGUCAAGUUUACCAGAUUAUAGGAGGAAAAACUACCAUCAUUUUUAUAUCAAAAUAGCCACAUACAUGCUCUGAAGUAGGAAGCAAAACUCACAUCGAUUUUUAAGAAGACACAACUUUUCAACCAAAUCUCAAACUUGGAGCCCCUUCAAGCUAUGCCCCCAAAUGCUCACUCUCUACUCCCUUCAGACAAAUACUCUAGGCCUCUGUGACUCAGUUUCUUCAUCUGAGAAGUGGGGUAACAGUAAUCCUACACUUGACGAGAAGAUUGUGAGGGUGAACGGAGGUGGGGUGUGAGGAGGAGCUAGCUGGGCAGAGGCAGGCAUGGCCUCCUCCUGUGCUGGUGGCUUUCACACUCCAGCGCUGUCCCGGGAGAAAACUCUGAUUUAAUGGUUCACUGGGCUUCCCCUGGCUGAGCUGGGUGUGACAAACCUCUGUCUCCUGGCCAUAUGCCUGGUCACCCAGAUCUCAGCGGACUGGAGACUUUCUGCCUAAGCUUCUCCAUCACGUGGAUAGCCUGAUGCAGGGCACAGGGAUCUGGGCAUUGGCUGGGCAUGCUCCACUACCCAUCUCUGAACCCCUGACCCUAGUGACCAGAGUCCUCUGCACCGCCAGGUGGGUUGGGGGGGUCAGUAUGGACACACUCCUGCAUAGAUCUCUCAGAUUAGCUUUCCUGAAGGGAGUAGACCUCUGGGUCAGGCUGGGAGCCCCCAUUUCCCAAACCUCUCAGGUCAUAGGUGACCACAGGGGUGAGAUCAGGACCAACCUUUUCAUUCAUUCACGCAUUCGUUCAUUCAACACAUAAUUGUUGAGUGCCCACUCUGUGGGCCAGCGAAUGUGUGAGGCACCACUUGCUCCUGUGUGACCUUGGGCAAGUCAAUCUCUGCACCCACCUCGCUGGUCUGUAACAUCUCCGGCAUUACAGGAUCUGCAUCAGAAGGUUGUUACGAGGAUAAAAUGAGAGGAUGCACAUCUUGGCAUGGAGCUGGUACACAGUAAGCGCUCAAUAAAUGUUAUCCGUGUUACCAAUACUAUUACUAAUAAGACCUUUUAGGUCCCUGCCCUCUAUGGUGUCUCGUUGCCUCUGGCCUCCCUUCUCCACCUCUGUCCUCUCUCCUCUUACUCACUGCUCCCCUCCUGCGCCCCCAAAUCUGGACCCCAAAACCGGGUGCGGCGCUCCGCUGGCCCGCCAGGUGCACAGAGGCCCCAUUCUCCAGACGCGGGUCCCCUUGACUGCUCCUGGGGGACCCUGUCCGGUGACCUCGCGACCCUGCCGUUUGUGCGGGCAAAGAGGGGCCUUUUGUUUCCCGCGGGGCCGCGCGCCUCCCGCCCUAAUCCGGCUAAUUACGGGCCCCCUGGCGCUCGGGGCGCGCUCGCCCACUGCUUUCCCACGGCCGCGAAGAAAGCCCCUCAGUGCGGCGCGCGAACAGAGCUCCGAUUCAGCCGCGGCCUCUGCUCGCCUGUCCCCUGCCUCGCUCUGCCUGUCGGUCUGCGGGGCUGGUUCCCCGACUGGACUGCCGGUUUCUCUCUGAUUCUUUUCUCUCUGCCUGCUCUCCGUCUCUCUCGUUCUCCUUCUCUCUGCCUGUCCACUCUGGGGCUUUCCGUCUCUGUCUUUCUCUUCCCUGUCUCUCUCCCAUAACCAGGCUUCAGUUUGCGUGCUCACGGUGGGGCCAUUUGGGGCCCCAGCGUGCCUCAGGCCCUCCCUUCCCUCCUUCCUGGGGACCCCAGGGUCCUGGCCCCUUCUAAGUGUAGGGAAACCAGGAAUCCUCUACGCCCAAGCCAUGUCUCUUGCACCGUCCAGGGGAAACUCUGGGCUCUCCCUAGUGGGGAGCAGCUCCAGGACAGAGAGAAGCACCCGGGAUGUCCAGGACCGGACUGGUGAAGGUGCGGUGGGACUCCAACAGCAGAGUGUGAGCAGAGGGGCCUGAGUGGACCCAGGCCACUCAGCUCACGGUGUCCUGUGGCCGGGCCAGAAGGGGGAGCAACUCUGAAGUGGUCUCAGCCUGGGAGGCUGCUGCUAGCCCCAACAGGAUUGGCCAAAGAAGGGGUCUGUGUUAUCCUUAGUGUGGGUCUGGACCAGCACCAGUGAGUUUGGACAACUGCUCUUCUAGAAUUCACUGGGAGUACAUGUCUAAAGGGUUCUGGGCAGGCUGUGGAAAGGGUCCUUUUGGCCAUCUUGAGUCCCAAGAAAAUAGUUAAUAAUUAAUUCAUCAUAUAUUUACUGAGAGCUUACUAUAUGCCAGAAACUGUUCUAAGCCACAAGGGAGAAAGCCAUGAACAACACCAAGAUCCCUGUGCUACAUUCUAGUGGGGGAGGCUGUGGGUAAACAAAUAAGGAAGACAGAUAGCUAUCAGAUGGUAGGAAGGGCUGUGAAAAACACAAAACCAGGGAGGAGUGUCAAGAGCUGGAUGAGGAGGGGGUCAGAGGAAGCCUCUCUGAGUUGGUGACACUUGAACGGACACCUGAAGUGAAGUCGAGAUGCUUUCAUUCCAGGAGAUCCUGGGCUUGCCAGCAGGUCCCCACCACAGCUGCCAGGGGACUCUUCCUGGUGCUCUCAAACUCCAGUCACUGGGAGAUGCUGAGACCCUCCAUGGCCUUGUGGAAGUGCCUGGCUCACCAUGGGACAGUGGCCAAGAAGGGGCUGGCUGGAAGAUUUGUGCUUAGGAAAGCUCUUCCUGCCCCUCAUUUUUCUUGCCUUUUCCUCAACACUGUCAGGGAUUUUCCAACAAUGAUGACCUUUGAAUGAAGAGACCACAAAUAAACCACACAGGCCUGUGGGAGGGGUUCUGGCCAGGGCCUGGUGGUCUGUGUCCGAGGAGAAGUAGGGCCCUCCGGUCUGCAGAGAAACCAAGGGCUUCUUUACAUGGAGGUAAUUGAGGAAAAAGGAUUAGUGAGUUUUGUGAGCUCAUAAAUCAUAAGACAACACGGCGUUGUUGUGGGUAUUCAGAUCAGGGGGACAAGAAAGAAGAAAAGGGGCAAAGUAUGCCCCCAGUAGGCUCAUGGUGGUCUCAGGCAACACAGGAGAAGCUGGGGGAUAGAGGCAGGACAUAUGGACAAACUGUAGGACCCACAGUUGCUGAGGGCUGGGAUUUGGGGCCCUGAGGGAGUCUGGAGCGCCGGCUAGAGCUGCUUUUGUGAGUGUGUUUGCUAAGUGACCUGUCUCAGCCUCUCCCACCAGCUCACUCCUCCACCCUUGUCGCCCACCUUGGCAGAGCCUGGUUCUGGCUGAACUCCCACUGAGUCUGCUUCUAGGGAGGUGAUGGUGGGUGGAUGGUGAAUGACCCCUCCUCCUGCCAAGCCACAGUGGGCCCGGCCAGGUUUAGGGAGGGGUCCAGAAACCCUCCAACCUGGCCUUCCUUCUCAUGGGCUGUGCUGCUUGGGACCGUGUGAAAUAGAAGCACCACAGUUCUGUAUGGGGCCAAAUGUUGGAAACCCCAGACGGGUCUGGGAGCUGGGAGAUUCCUUUAUAACCUGCCCCUCGCUGACUGACUCAGAGCCCUCGAGUGCACCAUCAGACCUCUCCGCGCCUGUUCCCUCCCUUGGAAAAUAGAGAUAAUAAUAAUCAUCCUUCCUUGCAGGGUGAUAGUGAGGAUAAAAUGAGAUAAGGAUGUAAGAUGUGUUCUGGCAGCCAGCAACUUCAGGCUUUUCUGACCAAUGCACUUUAUAUUUUGACCCAUUACCUGCACACAUAAUCGAAACAAAAGUUUAUACUUAACCCUUAUUAUGUUGAAUGCCUUGAUCUAGUCUAUUGUAUUCAUUCUAUUUGUAAAAAAUUGCAGGUCAUGACUCAUUGGGGGUUAAACUGCAAUUUGAAGAACACUGCCAUAAACCAUGGAAUGGGACAGGACAGCAUUUGUGAUAUCACCACCUGGAGAACUUGCUAGGAGCACAGCAGAGUGCACUUGGGAGCUGCCACUCUGGGCACAUGACCCCUGAUCCCACUGCGGCCCUCUGUGGUUGACUCCAGCCUUACUACUCAGCCACCAACCCUGACCACCCCCAAAACCUCCCUGCUGACUGCAGUCAGCCUCAUGCCUAAGGCCAGACACAGCCUGUAGACUCGAAUGGGACCUAGGGGUCACCUCACCCCUCACAACUUCACAGAGGAGGAAACUGAGGCCCGGCCAGGGAAAGUAAGUCAGGCAAGGCCACCCAGUGAUAGGCGGCAGAAUCAGAACCAGAGCUCAGGUGUCGUGCUGUCACCCCAUGGCUUGUUUUGACUUACGGCCCAGUCUUCUGCCUGGCUGAAACCCAGUCCCCCGCCUCCUCUUCUGGGGUCUGGGAACUGGCCCUGCCUGAGUGGAGUAGGAAUAAAGCAGCAGCGGGAUCCGUCUCAGUCUGCACACACCAGCCACGUGGCCAAGGUGAGCCUGUUCCUGCUUCUGUGCCUCAGCCUCCUCCUCCAUAGAGUGGGAAUGAUGCUUCUGCUCUGCCCAACCCACACGGUUGCUUUGCAGAUUAAAUGAGAUAACGUGUCUAAGGAGAAGUCUGAGAAAACAUUGAAACAUACUUUAAAAGUGAAAGCUUCUUGAGGGUGAGGGAAAGCUUGAAUAGGUGAAGCCCAGAGGUAUUUUUGGAGGGUGAAAUUAUUCUGUAUGAUAUUUCAGUGUUGGCUACGUGACACUGCAUUUGUCAAAACUCAUAGAACUUUACAGCACAAAGAGUGAAUCCUAGUGUAUGCAAAUUAAAAAAAUCAUUUAGAAAGUCAGGGGAUCCAGGACAGAAUGCAGACUGUGACAAGCCUAUCUGUAUUACAAAUGUGUGAAACAACCUCUCUGAAGUGGGUGGGGGAAAAAGGUUCCAAUUUAAGUAACUUUGGAAAUGAGCCUGUAAGACUGAAAACAAAAGAAACUGGGUAAGCCCUACACUGUUCAUGAAGCCGUUUCCCAGAGAGUGUGGGUUAGCAAUUGCAAAACCACCGCACAUGUGUGUUGCAGUUGAACAUGAGAGUUAAUGGAUGGUGGAUGGCGGAGGCUGGGGGCCAGGUUUCUCACUACAGAGCAGGGAGGUUACACACAAACAAGGGAAAAAGGCUAGAAUGCUCUUGGAGAUAAUGGAUUAGAGUUGUAGAUGUUAGUACGAACUCAAAUUUACCUUAAUAUAGACAGGGGUGGAAACAUAUAGAAAUAUUUAUAUUUGUGUAUAUUUGAUUAGUUUGAUGGGCACACAGGUUAGUAUACACACAUAUAUUUCCUUGUCCUAUCAGCUGAGAGGGCCUAGAAGCAAUGGUACCAGUAGCAAUUGUGGGGGCCUGGA